rnacentral:rRNA from 1 species
AGUGAACGCUGGCGGCGUGCUUAACACAUGCAAGUCGAACGAGAACGGAUUAUAGCUUGCUAUAAUUGUCAGCUAAGUGGCGCACGGGUGAGUAAUGUAUAGGUAAUAUGCCUCUUACUAAGGGAUAACAAAUGGAAACGUUUGCUAAUACCUUAUACUCCUUAUUAACAUAAGUUAAUAAGGGAAAGAUUUAUUGGUAAGAGAUUAGCCUGUAUUGUAUCAGUUAGUUGGUGGGGUAAUGGCUUACCAAGACUAUGACGCAUAACUGGUUUGAGAGGAAGAUCAGUCACCCUGGAACUGAGAAACGGUCGAGACUCCUACGGGAGGCAGCCGUGGGGUAUAUUGCACAAUGGACGAAAGUCUGAUGAAGCAACGCCGAGUGGAGGAUGACACAUUUCGGUGCGUAAACUCCUUUUAUAUGAGAAGAUAAUGACGGUAUUAUAUGAAUAAGCACCGGCUAACUCCGUGCCAGCCGCCGCCGUAA